AGAUGUUGCGCCGGUUGUUGUCCAGCGUGCGGCUGGAGAAGUAGCGGUCGAAGCCUGGCAGGGAACCAGGACGUCAGGGCCUCACUGGCCUUCUUCCCCACCAGCCCCAGCCCUCCCCGCCUCCCCCAGGAUAAGAGAUGGUCCAGGCGGAGGGAGAGAGACCAGGAGGAGCACAUCCUCUGAUCCAGGAGAAAACAAAAUGUGGAGCAUUUCGUUUCUUUCAAAAUGAAAAGAGCUGUAUUAGGUCCCAGGGGGAUCGUGUGUAAUCUACAACUGCUGCCUUUAUGGAAGAGAAGCACACCGAUGAGGAUGUUUCCACGGCCUUUAACCGCUGCAAUGCUAACAGCGGGCUUUGAGAAGGAGCCGCCUGGGAGUCCUGAGAUUACAGCACAGAGGCUGGUGGGGCUGCCCAACCCGGGGAGCACCUGAAGAGGAGACCAGGCCAGACAAGGAGGGAGGGAACCACCCAGAUCACACAGCAAGACCAGGACCUGGACCUUCUUCCUUCACAUCCAGGACGUCCCCAUCACUGACAGAGGCUGCCUGCCUCCUCCACAUGCUCUGCGUGGCUCACACUUCUGCUCUCAGCCUUGGAAAGCCUGUCCUAGGGUGGGCAGGCUGGCGGUGAACAACACCCCCUCCUCCUCCCAGACGCCCCCCUGCCAUACUGACUGUUCUAGGCACUGUGGACUGAGCUGCUCUGUAUGGGCCAGAGGCCUGAAAGCUCAGCGGGGCCACGUGGAGCUUCCUGCCCAUGGAAGCGUCCAAGUGGAAGCAAAAUGACCGGCCACGUGGCAGGAGACGCACUGGCAUCGAGCAGGAGGUUUGGCCUGCAGUAGGAUUUCUCAGCCUCGGCACUGUGGACGCUCUGGGCGGGAUAAUUCCUGUGGGGGGCCAUCCUGUGCACCGUACGAUACUGAGCAGUACCCCGACCUCUACCCACUGGAGGCCAGCAGCAGCAUCCCCCAACUGUGACAACCAAAAAUGGCUCCAGAAAUUGCCAAAUAUCCCCUUGGGGGGCAAAAUCGCCCCCAGAUAAGGACCAUUGUUCUAAAAGUUUCUCUAAUGUUCCUGAGAGAAAAAGUACUUGUCAGGCAAGUCCUGGAUUCUGGUCCCAACUCUGCCACUCGCUGUACUGUGUGUGUCUCAAGCUCUCUGAGCCCUGUGUAUCCAUCUACUAAAUGCGGGGAAGAGUGCAUCACAGGGAUGCUGGGGAGGCUAAAGGAGAUGUCUGUAAGGGGCCUGGCACUGCUGGGGGCGAAGCCUGAAUGUAAAUAAUGGAGCCCAGGCAGCAGUGUUGUGGCCAGAGGGGGUUUCAAGGGCAGCAGCACUGCAGGAUGAAGCACCCAAGGCCAGCAGUGAGGAAUGGCAGGAGGCGCACCCCACAGUUCACCUGACGCAGCUGCUGACAGGCCCCAAGUUCCUGCUCCCUACCUUAUGCCUCCAGGAAUGGAUUUCUGUCCUCAGUGAGUCAGUAGAGAGAGGAAGGGGAACAGCCAGGGAGCUCAGUAGGGCAGGAGGUGGAGGUCCCAGGGUAGCCUGGCCUCACCCCCAAUGCCUACACCCCGUCAGCCUCAGUUUGCCCCUCUGUAGGCUGAGAGAGCAACCUCUCAGGUCUAGGGGUGGGAAGAGAGCUAAAGAAGAAGUGAGUAGUUGGGGGCUGGAUUUUGCAAUUAACCAUUCAUUCAACAAACAUUUAUUGAGCAACUACUAUGUGCCAGGGCUGUGUUAGAUGCUGGAGAUGCAGCGGAGAACAAAACAGAUUAAAAUCUCUGCCUUGGUGGACCAUAUACAAACAAAUAAAAAUGUAUUAGUCUGGUGCUAUAAAGAAAAACAGAGCAGGGUACGGGGACUGGAGAGUAGGACGGAGGCAGGGGCUGUUUCAGAUAGGCUGGUCAGAGGCCUCUCUGAAGGGAGACAUCCGAGAAGAUACCUGAAGACACCAAGAAUGCAGGCCGUGUGGACAUGCAGGAGAAGCUUUCCCACAGGAGGACCAGCCCGUGCAAAGGCCCUGAGGCGAGCUGGUGCCUGGAACAUUUGAGGAGCUGCAAGAUAGCUGCUGUGGCAAGAGCGAGGGAGAGGCACGGAAGGAGGCAAGGCCAGAGAGUGAGGAGAGGCAGCGGAACAGGCACCCUUAAUGUGAGUGGGGCCAGCCCCCUUGGCUCUGGCCGUACAGAUCUCCACCUCAUCCCCGUGGAGCCUCCGUAGAUGGGGUGCUCCAUUUACAGCCAGGGACGCCACAUGCCGAGAGUCUCACAGCCCACUGGAUGAGGAGCUGCCCAGCCUGGGCCUCCUGCUGCCCAAGCACUGUCUCCUCAGCGGGCUGCCAGCCAUGCCAUGCCACUGUGCUGACAGAGGCCAUCUACAUGCAAGUCUGAUGCUCAGCCCUGGGAGUCGGAGCAGGAGGUCAGACCCAGCAACAGCUUGACUCACCCGCAUCUCUGGAAUAUCAAUGGAGGGCACAGCAACACAGCCAAGAGAUAAGAAACUGAGCCCAGAAAGACGAAAUGAUUUUCCCAAGACCGCACAGCCAAUCAGCAUCCGAGACAGGGCACAGGUCUGCCCGAAGGAGCCUGACCUCUUAAGCACCUGCCGCCGCUUCUGCAAUGCAAGCUGGAGGAGACAGGGUGUAUAGGUAGAGUACCUGGUCUGACAGCCCUAGCUCCAAGUCCUGCUCUGACACCUGGCUGUGUGACCCUAGGCAAGCCACAUCACUUCUCUAAGGCUCAGUUCUCCCAUCUGCAAAAUGGGAAAAAAACACCUAGCCCACGGGUGUUUCACCUAGCCACAUGGUUAUUACCAGGAUCUGUAAUAGUCACAGGGGGUGUCUGGCCCAGGCAGGGCUCAGUCAAGGGCCACAGGAUUGCCCAGAGCAUGUGUAGACAAGGGUGGGAGUGGGGAAUGCCAGUGCCAGGGCUUCCUUUAGGCCUGGUGCCAGUGGCCCAGUCAGUAUUGGGCCACUCCAUGUGCCACCUACAGGCUCCCCACCUGCAGGACAGAGCCAGGUUCCCAUCCCAGCUCCUCCAUGUUCUAGCUCUGUGGCCUUGGGAAAGUGACCCACCCCCUCUGGCCUCCAUUUCCCCAUCUAUAAAAUGGGCAUAGUCAUGCUCCUCUGAAGCACCCAGAGACCAGCACACAGUUGGCACCCAGGACUCACUCACCACACUUCCAACAUGCAUCCCAGCCUGGCCAGCAUGCCCUCCCCACCACUCCCCUCUCUGGUGCUCCUCUGAGCAACUCACAGAUGAUUUAUACUUCAGAGUACGAAUCAAUACAAUAUACGGCCAAAGACAUCUUUAAUCUUUCACAGGGAUUAGGCUACAAGGUACAGUGGCCUCUUUCUACUGGCUGCUCAAUUCUGAUUUCAAUUUGGCCAGCUGAAGUGCAGCUCUCUCUCUCUCUCUUCCUUUCUUUUCACCCACUAAAAGAUGUUCCUCCAAAUCAAAUUUCAUUUAUUGGGUUGCGCGACGAGACCUAGCUGCCUGAACUGCCCUGGCCAGGCCCCCGUAGGAUGUUGCACACUGGCAUGGGGUGGCCUUGGAAGUUUGGGGACGUGGGAGGCCCAGCCAAGCAGGAAGCCAGGCCCUCAGAUGGUGCAUGGGGUGUGGCAGGUAUUGUGAGGGGCGCCUCUGCCAGGACAGGAGUGCCCCGAGCUGGAGGCCCUUGCAUAAUGGCAAAUUUUAUUUUUCUAGAUCAUGAAGUCCUUUUAAAAAAUCUUGAGUAGACUUUAUUUUUUCUAACCGCCCAAUACUUGAUUAGAUGUUGAUAAAAAAAAAAUUAAACAAUAGGCUUACCUUCAGCCAAAACACAAUGCCCAGACCCCAC
rnacentral:lncRNA from 1 species